rnacentral:rRNA from 1 species
AGUGAACGCUGGCGGUAGGCCUAACACAUGCAAGUCGAACGGCAGCACAGUAAGAGCUUGCUCUUACGGGUGGCGAGUGGCGGACGGGUGAGGAAUACAUCGGAAUCUACUUUUUCGUGGGGGAUAACGUAGGGAAACUUACGCUAAUACCGCAUACGACCUACGGGUGAAAGCAGGGGAUCUUCGGACCUUGCGCGAUUGAAUGAGCCGAUGUCGGAUUAGCUAGUUGGCGGGGUAAAGGCCCACCAAGGCGACGAUCCGUAGCUGGUCUGAGAGGAUGAUCGGCCACACUGGAACUUAGACACGGUCCAGACUCCUACGGGAGGCAGCAGUGGGGAAUAUUGGACAAUGGGCGCAAGCCUGAUCCAGCCAUACCGCGUGAGUGAAGAAGGCCUUCGGGUUGUAAAGCCCUUUUGUUGGGAAAGAAAAGCAGCAGGUUAAUACCCCGCUGUUCUGACGGUACCCAAAGAAUAAGCACCGGCUAACUUCGUG